rnacentral:rRNA from 1 species
GGGGAGGUUUGGCACCUCGAUGUCGGCUCAUCGCAUCCUGGGGCUGUAGUCGGUCCCAAGGGUUGGGCUGUUCGCCCAUUAAAGCGGUACGCGAGCUGGGUUCAGAACGUCGUGAGACAGUUCGGUCCCUAUCCGUCGUGGGCGUAGGAAAUUUGAGAGGAGCUGUCCUUAGUACGAGAGGACCGGGAUGGACAUACCUCUGGUGUACCAGUUGUCGUGCCAACGGCAUAGCUGGGUAGCUAUGUGUGGACGGGAUAAGUGCUGAAAGCAUCUAAGCAUGAAGCCCCCCUCAAGAUGAGAUUUCCCAACUUCGGUUAUAAGAUCCCUCAAAGAUGAUGAGGUUAAUAGGUUCGAGGUGGAAGCAUGGUGACAUGUGGAGCUGACGAAUACUAAUCGAUCGAAGACUUAAUCAA